rnacentral:rRNA from 1 species
AUUGAACGCUGGCGGCAGGCCUAACACAUGCAAGUCGAGCGAGCGGCGGACGGGCGCGUAAUGUAUGGGGACUGCCCGAUAGAGGGGGAUAACUACUGGCAACGCUAGCUAAUACCGCAUACUAUCGGAUAACCCAUAUGGGAUUAGCUUGUAGGUGAGGUAAUGGGUCACCUAGGCGACGCUCCCUAGCUGGUCUGAGAGGAUGAUCAGCCACACUAGUACUGAGACACGGCCCAGACGCCUACGGAGGCAGCAAAGGGGAAUAUUGCACAAUGGGCGCAAGCCUGAUGCAGCCAUGCCGCGUAUAUGAAGAAGGCCCUAGGGUUGUAAAGUACUUUCAGUCGGGAGGCGUUACCGACAGAAGAAGCACCGUCUAACUCCGUGCCAGCAGCCGCGGUAAUAC